GUAAAGGUAGGGGUGGUGAGGAGGUGAGUAGUGAACCGGUGGAGGAGGAGAAUAGACGGGAGGUGGCGGCGAUUUGUAUUCGUAGUGUUUCUUUGGUGGUGGGGGAGAGUGGUAAACCGGAGGGGGAGGAGACUGGUAAACCGGAGGAGGAGGAGAUUUGUACUCGUAAUGCUUCUUAGGUGGUGGAGGAGAGUGGUAAACCGGAGGAGGAGGAGACUUGUAAACCGGUGGAGGAGGAGAUUUGUACUCGUAGUGUUUCUUAGGUGGUGGAGGAGAGUGGUAGACUGGAGGAGGAGGAGACUUGUAAACCGGUGGAGGAGGUGAUUUGUACUCGUAGUGUUUCUUAGGUGGUGGGGGAGAAUGGUAAACCGGAGGAGGAGGAGACUUGUAAACUGGUGGAGGAGGAGAUUUGUACUCGUAGUGUUUCUUAGGUGGCGGAGGAGAGUGGUAAACUGGAGGAGGAGGAGACUUGUAAACCGGUGGAGGAGGAGAUUUGUACUCGUAGUGUUUCUUAGGUGGUGGAGGAGAGUGGUAGACUGGAGGAGGAGGAGACUUGUAAACCGGUGGAGGAGGAGAUUUGUACUCGUAGUGUUUCUUAGGUGGUGGAGGAGAGUGGUAGACCGGAGGGGGAGGAGACUUGUAAACCGGUGGAGGAGGUGAUUUGUACUCGUAGUGUUUUUUAGGUGGUGGAGGAGAGUGGUAAACCGGAGGAGGAGGAGAUUUGUAAACCGGUGGAGGAGGUGAUUUGUACUCGUAAUGUUUCUUGGGAGGAGGUGGAGACUUGUAAACUGGAGGAGGAGAGUAAUGCUUAACCGGUGGUGGAGGUGAUUUGUACUCGUAGUCCUUCUUUGGUGGAG
rnacentral:lncRNA from 1 species